rnacentral:ncRNA from 1 species
GAUUUAUUCUACUCAAGCAUUCAGUGGAUGCCUUGGCAGUAAAAGCCUAAGAAGGACGUUUCAAGUCUGCGAAAGUUGUCGGGGAGGUGACAAGAACUUAUGAUCCGGCAGUGUCCGAAUGGGGAAACCUAACCAGAUUUAUCUGGU